UGGCAAGGAGCCAGCACCAGUACGCACUCUCCCCACUGUGCCCACCCUGGACCACGUCCCCACUCAGGCGACUGCCCUAGGAGGACAGGCACCCCGGCAACCCCUCAGCAGCAGUGAUAGCCAACCAGAGGGGCCCACACUCACGCCUGAUAGAAUCAGGCCUGGCAGGAAGUAGCACAGGAGGCUGGCUGGGCUUUCAGAGUUUACUCUCGCUGAGGGUAAAAGGCAGACACUCUUUACCUUCUAUUUUCACCCCGGGAGGAUUCACUGGAGCAGCUUACCACGUAUGCCAAUGUGGGCUGAGACAGUUUCAAGAAAUUACACACUCCUUUUCGACUCUGAAAACUUUAGUUUUUCCUGCCCCGUGUGGUUAACAGGGGUACCUUGCCCCCUUCCCGCCCCGGCCCCCGCCCUCUCUGUCCUGUGUCUUGCUGCCUCCUUGCCCAUGGCCGCUCUUGGCCGAGGAAAGGCCACGAGCCCAGUGUGGAGGCAGCUGCCUGCCCCACCGCCCUGGGAACCAAAGAGGCAGAGCCCCACUGCCUGCCUAAGGCCUAGGGCAGGCCACGGCUUGCUAGGCCCCAGCAAACCCUCUCUGAGUUCAGUGCUAAUUCCAGUUUUUCUUGUUUGAGGGGGCCAAACCUCAGCCUCCCCCUUUGCCCCCAGAACAGAUCCCAGGAUGAGCAGGGGAGGGCCACCCCUCCUGCCUGCCCUCCUCCCUCUCCCCUCCCACUGCCUCAUCUCCCGGGUUUCCUCUUUCAAAGCUGUCAGCCUACAGAGGGGCACCCCUCCUACUGUAGACCCUGAGGUCCAGGGUAGACUUUGUUGGGGACAAGACAGAUCCAACCAAAGCCAACCCUAGGGAAGGUAUGGGGCCAGCAGGGGCCCCCAGGGGACAGAGCAAUUGGCCAAGGGGAGGGGGCAGUGUGGGGCGAACCUACCCGGCAUGUGCUCUGUGCCUGGCCAGAGGGGCCCCCGGGGAAGAGCUGCUCCUUGCCACCCACUGCUUCCUGCAGGGCCCCCAUGGUUCCCCUCCUGACUGCAGCCUUUGUGAAGAACCACUCCAAGAGCCUGGCACUGAACACACCCCAAGUAUUUAUUGGAAGUCUACUGGGUGCCAGGGCCUGUGCCAAGGAUGGGUCACUCAGCUGGAGACAAACAGACUUGGCUCCUACUCUCCGUAGCUCACAGUCUUGUGGUCCCAAGAUGUAGUUUAAGGGUGACAAGUGCAAUAAAGGGAAGCUCAAAGUGUGUCUAGACGCCACCAGGGAAGGCUUCCUGGAGGCAGCGGUCUGAUCCAAGACCUGGUCAUGGACCCAUUCCAACAUGCCUGGAUGCCUCUGCCUUGUACUCUCUCAGGAGAGGUAGGAGGGACCUCGCCCCCUCGGUGGGCCACCUGAGCCUGGUGGCCCCUGAGAUCAGCGCUGCUCAGAGGAGCCAGCCUCCAGGGAAGAAGCAAAGGUCACCAUGAACUCCUGGAGCCAAAUGACAUGAACUUGCCUGGGAUCCUGCCUUUCUUGGCUUCCUGCUGAAUUUGGCCUGCGUCUGGCCUACGGCAAGCCUUCAACACAUGUGUCUGAAUGCAUGGCUCUCUCUGCAACUCCCCUCUCUCCUUGCUUAAGAAACAUCCUCAUUCCCUCCUUUCCACACAAGGGUCCACUGGGUUGGCCUGAGGUCCUCCCGAGGGGCUCGAGGGACCAGGGUUCACCAUUAUGGGAGCAACGAAAGGCCUAAGAAAGGAUGACCGGCAAAGUCAAUAUUGAGGGACUGAGGACAGGAUCACCAGUGGCCCAACCCGGUGGCCUAGGGCCAGGGCAUGUCACCCAGUGAUCCAGACAGGGCCUCAAGGAAGCCAUCACAGCCUGUCCCAAGCCUUCUACAUCUGAUGGUAUUUCUGCGCCUUGGCCAGUAGCCGCCAGCCUCUCACCAGAAAGAAAGCCUCUCCUCCCUGAGCAGCCUUUGUCCCUUUCUUGCCCAGCCACGGAGGCCUCAGGGAGCACCUCCCACCUCCCUCCCGAGCCAACCGGAGCGCUCUCCCGGUGCCCUCCAGGACACCGUGCUGGUGAGGAAACUCGGCUGAUUAUGGCGGCCCUUCUCUCGGGUCCGUUGGGCAAUGGUCUCGACUGGACGUGCGGCAUAACCCCUGCCCGGAGAGCAAGGUGGCAUCAGAGGUGUCUGCCUGCCCCCAGAGAGGUGCUGUGACCUUCGAUGUCAGGUUUGGACCCGUCUGAAGUAGCCUCCCGGAGUGAUUUACAAUUUGCAAACACGUUUUAUUUGAUUCCUCAGUUUUGCUAGAGCAAUUACAGUGACUAAGCAUGACAAAUCACUCCCAUCACGGUGUCUACUCGCUGUUAGGAAAUGUGUUCGCUUCACUAUUUUGCCUGGUGCGGCAACAUUUUAAAAAUAGACUCAUUCACUGUACUUGAAGGCAAUUUGUUCCCAAUUUUCCCACUAAUUUGAUUUUAAUCUGAUAUUUAAAAUUCGUGUGACCACAUUCCCACUGAUUUAUAGGGAAUAAGCCCUACCUGGCAGCAGUUUAAUUGGCCUUAACCCAUAAGUCCACAGGACAAAGGAUUUAUCCCAGAACAAUUUGAAGACACUGGUGUCGGCAAUGCUUCAAUGUACGUCUAAGUCAGCAUAUGGCAAGUGCCACUGGCCUGGGGCCACUAACAGCGGGUGUGGGCUGAGGGCCUCUGCCACUCUCCUUCAGGACCCUGACACAUAGUAGGCCAACAGUCCUCGCUGAGCAGAUGCAUGGAGCCCAGAUGUCCUGGCCCGGUGCGUGCCUGACCAAUGCAUAGUCGGGUUCUGGGGGAAAGCCCUUUGUUACUAGAAGUUUCCUCUUUCUCCCAUCCCGUGAUCAGGUUGGGUCCUGGGAGGAGGGCCCUGCAGCUCUCGCACCAGCUGAGUCCUGGCUUUGCCUGCUCCUGACAGUGUGGCCCUCACCGCAGCUCUUGAUUUCUCAGAGCUUCGGUCUCCUUUUAGGCAAAAUGUAUGCAAAACGAGCACCCCCGUCAGUCAUCCAGUUGUUGUGAAAGGUUAACAGGCAAAGCUUGUGAGACACUUGGCUCAAGGUAAUGAGAUUACUGUGCGUUAGGGCAGGAGGCAGGGGGCGUUGGGGAAGGCACGACUUGGUCCCUGAAAAAGCCCCGUGGAAGGAGACAGUCGUCGGAAUAAUGAGGGCAAAAUCCUUGCAUCCGGAGUAACCAAGUUCCUGAAGUCAUUUUGAUCUGGCUUCGAUUUUUUUUUUCCCCCAGGGAUGCCUUUUAUUUGCUUAGAAGGCAAAUAAAUUUAUUUGCUUAGAAGGCUUAAUGAGAUUCUCCCCGGCGCAGAGCCCUCCUGUGGGUGACCCUGCAGCCUGAGCACGGUGGUCAAACUCUUCUUCACGGACAGCACUGGGACCAGCAAGGGUGUCAUGGGAGAAGAUUCUUGAUCCAAGGGCAGAAUCCUCAGUGACGACUUCUGGUCAUUGAGAGCGUUCUCACUGGGGCAUCAGCCUCCCCAAAUCCUGAAAGACCACCCCCCACCCCACCUGCCAACACUACAGGCCUCCCGUUAACUCCAUUCUAUUUGGAAAGCUGGGACCUCAGUGAGUGCGGUGGCCCUGGCGUUCCCUUGCUGGUGGCAGGAGAGCAGAAGGAUGUGCUAUGGGGGGAGACACCUCCUGCCCCUUUGCCCACCCUCCAUUCCCCACUGGGUCAUCUCAACCCUUGGCCAAACAGUUGGUUCCCGUUUGCCCGAGCUAGCUCGAGCCCAGGAAGUGAGGUGGGAGGCUGCCCUCCACCCUGUGGGGAGGCCUGAUUGGGAUCCUGGAGGGGUGAGGAGGGGCCACAGAAGCAGGUGGGAGGCGGCCUGGGCCACACUUACGCUCCCUUAGAGAUGGGGCCACCAGCUGGAAAGAGCUCUGGAAACCGGCCUUGCUUUUCCCCUUGCUGCCAGGAAGGCCAACAUGAGAGUAACGCAAGUUAAUGAGCAAACUCCUCAGGCAAGGAAGGCAGGCAGCUCUCGGGCACCCCCAUCUCCCUGCUCAAGCACAAGACAGCAGUUGGAUGCCCCUGGCCGAACCAAGGGAGGGCAGCAGGUAUGGAGAGAGGCCAGGAGGCCUUAAAUCAUCGGUCGGCCGGGCUGGGUGCAGGGCCUCAGCAGGAGGGAGGGCAGCCAUGGGAUGCGGGCGACUCCCCGGGGAGAGUGGUGCCGUGUGGGCAUGGGCAUGGGUGCAGGGGUGUGCGGGGUGCGUUCGAACCUGGAGCUGAUUUGGAGCCUUGGGCUGGAGGAGUGUCCAUGCCCAGGAGGGGUGAAGGGUCCUCCCAAGAGCAAUUCCCAAGUUCACCAAAGCUGGACCUCUAUUUGAGGAGCGGUCUCACCUGGGAGAGGUGGAGGCCUGUGAGUCACGGGCCAGGCCCCUGAGCCCAGGGGAGGUGGGGAUGAUGGCUCCCAGCCCGAAAUGUGUCAGAAGCACGAUGAGCAUCUUGAGUGAUGCGCAGUCUAUGUAAUUAUGUGGGGCAGUGCUGCUCGGGGUGUGUGUGAACCAAACGAGAAAGGAGAGCAGCCUCGUGCCCGGGUCUUCUACCUCCCUGGCUGCACCCCAGGCUCGGAGAGAAGCCCUGGGUCUCAGGACCCGUGACAAGACAGGGCAGGGGCGGGAUCAGCACCUGGGCUCCUACACAUGUCGACCAGGGGGGAAUAGUUUGACCCUCUCCACCCACAAAUCCACCCAGGGGAGUGAAACACUCAUGUUUUCCUAAGACUCUCUUCUCUGGCUUUAGUUCACGACACCCUCCCCUUCCCCCGCCUCCACCCAGCAUUCCUCAACUUAAUUUACUUUAGUUUUUUUUAAUUUUUAAAAUUAAAUCAACUGCAUAUUGUUUGGAACAUCUUGGAGAUUUUCAGAAAUUGGAAUGGCAUGUCAGAGACAUUGCAGAGCCAGGUUUGGGGUCCCACAUGACCCACCCCCCAUCUUCAUGCAUCAGGGGAUGGGAGACGGCUGCCAUUGGCGGUCUCUUGCUGCUUUCCUUAUGAGACAAGCCUCUGCGACUGGUACCCCCAAAGCACAAUGGUUUGGAGGCACCUGCUGCUGGGCGUGGGGGAAUCUGGCGCCUGCCAGAGAGCC